UACGAAGGGGACUAGCGUUGUUCGGAAUUACUGGGCGUAAAGGGCGCGUAGGCGGCCUUCUAAGUCGGACGUGAAAUCCCUCGGCUUAACCGAGGAACUGCGUCCGAUACUGAAAGGCUUGAAUCCGGGAGAGGGAUGUGGAAUUCCAGGUGUAGCGGUGAAAUGCGUAGAUAUCUGGAGGAACACCGGUGGCGAAGGCGGCAUCCUGGACCGGCAUUGACGCUGAGGCGCGAAAGCUAGGGGAGCAAACGGG
rnacentral:rRNA from 1 species